UUAUAAGAGACAGCAGCAGCCACGGUAAUACGUAGGUGGCAAGCGUUGUCCGGAAUUAUUGGGCGUAAAGGGCUCGCAGGCGGUUUCUUAAGUCUGAUGUGAAAGCCCCCGGCUCAACCGGGGAGGGUCAUUGGAAACUGGGAAACUUGAGUGCAGAAGAGGAGAGUGGAAUUCCACGUGUAGCGGUGAAAUGCGUAGAGAUGUGGAGGAACACCAGUGGCGAAGGCGACUCUCUGGUCUGUAACUGACGCUGAGGAGCGAAAGCGUGGGGAGCGAACAGGAUUAGAUACCCCAGUAGUCCCUGUCUCUUAUAC
rnacentral:rRNA from 1 species